UUUUACUCGUCCAUAAUUGGCGGAAUUCCACGUUGACGUUCUCUCAUUCUCUCCCACUAUAAUUCUCAGAAGCUAGCUUUCUACAUCAAAACCUCCUUAUUCAGUAUUCACAGAUACUGUAUUUUUGCGAAAAGGCUUACUAUGAUGAUGAGAAGUUUCUUUCCUUUGAACGAUUGAUGAUUUCAGUUACUUGGUAACUUAGAGUGAGCUCUAGCUCUUCUAUACGAAGAUCUGUGAAGCCCUAAUGUCUUAAAAGAGACAAGGGCCAUUUGGUGGGAGGUUAUGAUGGAUAAUAUGGCAGUGCCUUCAGUUCUAUGUGAUAUUGUGCCUAUUUUAAAUUUUGCUGAUGAAGUUGAACCUUAUCACCCAUGGGCUGCAUACCUUUGAAACAAAUGAUAGAGUUGUAUGGAUUGUACAAAGAUGAUGUGACAUCCACUGAACGAGUUCAAUGCAUUGUGGAUGUAUUUAGCUUCAAAUGGAUGCAAUAGUUUUUAUUAUAUGCAUACGAGGUCGAAUGCAUGCCCUUGAUAAAGCUCAUAGACAAGAUCCACUAUCAAGUGGUCGUGGUGUUCAUCAAUUCAAGACUGCUCUAAUUCAUCGCCUACGUAGGGCACAUUUUCUCUCCAUUUUCUUGUAAUUCAGCAUUUGAUUUUUAGAUGAAGUAAUAUUAUGGAGGUGGAACAUUCUAUUCAGUAUUGUUUUUAUCCGUUUGUUUGUAACACAUUUAUUUAAAACAAAGAAGGAAAGAAGUUCGUUAGUGGAAAGUUGAAAA